UGACUCGAUGUCAUGUGUAUGAUUGAGUAUAAGAUAUAGAACCGCAAACGGAUCCCAAAAGCUAAAGUAGUGUUUCCUUGUUAGAAAAUAC
rnacentral:sRNA from 1 species